rnacentral:rRNA from 1 species
UACAGAGGAUGCAAGCGUUAUCCGGAAUGAUUGGGCGUAAAGCGUCUGUAGGUGGCUUUUUAAGUCCGCCGUCAAAUCCCAGGGCUCAACUCUGGACAGGCGGUGGAAACUACCAAGCUGGAGUACGGUAGGGGCAGAGGGAAUUUCCGGUGGAGCGGUGAAAUGCGUAGAGAUCGGAAAGAACACCAACGGCGAAAGCAGCUCACUACACAAAGAUUGACACUGAGGCACGAAAGCGUGGGGAUCAAACAGG